CCUCCAUGGAAGCAGGUCACAUCUCAUGCAAUCAGGCAGGGGAUUCCCUGUAACUUCUUCCAUCUACAGGUGAUGAUGGGAUGGAGCUCCAGCUCAAAAGAAAGACACAGAGGAUAACCCUUUACAAACCAUGCAAUGCUGCAGUACAAUGCUGUUUACAAUUUGCAAGUAGAGCCCAUUUGCUCCAGCCUAGCCUCCUGCUGAUGGACUAGGGACCCUUGCCAGCACAUCUUCUCCUAGGUCAUCUAACAAGGUGACUCCUAGGUUGGCAAUUUGCUUCUGAAGCUGUAAACAGAGAACUAGGAAAGCUUGUCAAGACCACUUCCUGCUUGGAAUAAGUCACACAGUUCAAUUUACUGGAGUAUUGUUCUCUUUGAGAUACUGCAUGUUCUGUGAGACCUCCUCCAGAUAAAAAUAGAUUGACAAGAUAGGAAAUGCUUGAAGUGGUCCUAAUCAUCAGGAUGAAAGCCAGGAAAAACAGAUUGUCCCAUGUCUACUAUUAACAUAAUUAAUGGCCUCAAGUUAUGAGAGGGGAGGUUUAGAUUGGAUUCUAGGAAACAUUUCUUCACUGAAGUGUUGUCAAGCAUUGGAUCAGGCUGCCCAGGGAAGUGGUGGGUCACCAUGCCUGGAGGUAUUUAAAAGACAUGUAGAUGUGGCACUUGAAGGACCUGGUUUAGUGGUGGACUUGGCAGAGCUGGGCUAAUGGUUGGACUCAACUUCAAGGGUCUUUUCCAGUCUAAAUUGUUCUGUGAUUCUGUAAUUCAGAUUAGCUUGGGUUUCAGUUCCCCCAGACUGACCAACUUCAUAGCUAGAUCUCUUUUUCUUCAGGGAUGUCAUGACAGAGUAGUUGGGACACUUCUGUCCUAUGGCAAGACUACAGUUACUGGCAUCAGCACUUCUGGUGGAGCAACAAACACAGGCUUAUGGAUCUCAGCAGUGCUGCCUAAUCAAUUUCCCUCCAGUGCAUUUCUGUGUGACUGAAUCACUGUGGGAUUUGCGUCCUUGUCAGUGUAAGCUUUGGGUGAGAAACUGUGCUGGGGUCUUCCACAAAAGCAGUGAGAGCUGCAACUGCUGUGAGCAAGACUUGGGAGUGCUUGUGGCCGUGCUUCAACCCCUUGUCCUCUGGAAGUCAACAGGUCUGAUAUUUUGA
rnacentral:lncRNA from 1 species